rnacentral:rRNA from 1 species
GACGAACGCUGGCGGCGUGCUUAACACAUGCAAGUCGAACGAAGUGGCGAACGGGUGAGUAACGCGUAAUCAACCUGCCCUUCAGAGGGGGACAACAGUUGGAAACGACUGCUAAUACCGCAUACUGAAGGAGGGGAUUGCGGCGGAUUAGCUAGUUGGAGGGGUAACGGCCCACCAAGGCGAUGAUCAGUAGCCGGUCUAAGAGGAUGAACGUCCACAUUGGUGCGAGGCGACUGCCAAGAAGCUUACGGGAGGAAGCAGUGGUGAAUCUUCCGGAAUGGACGAAAUUCUGACGUAGCAACGCAGCGUGAGUGAUGACGGCCUUCGGGUUGUAAAGCUCUGUUAAUCGGGACGCGGUACCGAAAUAGAAAGCCACGGCUAACUACGUGCGAGCAGCCGCGGUAAUUC